rnacentral:tRNA from 1 species
GAGAAUGAUACAAGAACUGCUAAUUCCUGAUUCCAUAUCUAAACAUAUGGCCUUCU